AGAGUUUGAUCCUGGCUCAGAUUGAACGCUGGCGGCAUGCUUUACACAUGCAAGUCGAACGGGCUGUUGGGGCAACCUGGCAGUCAGUGGCGGACGGGUGAGUAAUGCAUCGGAACGUGUCCCAUAGUGGGGGAUAACCCGGCGAAAGCCGGACUAAUACCGCAUAAGCUCUAUGGAGGAAAGCGGGGGACCUGAAAGGGCCUCGUGCUUUGGGAGCGGCCGAUGUCCGAUUAGCUUGUUGGUGGGGUAAUGGCUUACCAAGGCGACGAUCGGUAGCUGGUCUGAGAGGAUGAUCAGCCACACUGGGACUGAGACACGGCCCAGACUCCUACGGGAGGCAGCAGUGGGGAAUUUUGGACAAUGGGGGCAACCCUGAUCCAGCCAUGCCGCGUGCGGGAAGAAGGCCUUCGGGUUGUAAACCGCUUUUAGUCGGGAAGAAAAGGCACGUUCUAAUACGGCGUGUUCUUGACGGUACCGGCGGAAUAAGCACCGGCUAACUACGUGCCAGCAGCCGCGGUAAU
rnacentral:rRNA from 1 species